UUGUUUUAUUUUUAACUGUUUCCUUCUACUUGAAUAUAAGUCUCAGAAGGCAGGAGCUUGCUAUCCUAUUCACCUAAGGAAGCCAAGUUGUCUGAAACAAUUUCAGCUUCCAAUGCCUGGAAAAGUCAUUAUGAGAAAAUUGUAAUAGAAAAAACUGAAUUGGAAGUACAGAUUGAAACAAUGAAAAAGCAAAUCGUUAAUCUUUUGGACGAUCUGAAGAAAAUGGAAGACCAUGGAAAAAAUUCAUGUGAAGAAAUUCUUAGAAAAGUUCACUCAAUUGAAUAUGAAAAUGAAAUUCUGAAUCUUGAGAAUACAAAAUUAAAGACUACACUUGCUGCUUUGAAGGAUGAAGUUGUAUCUGUUGAAAAUGAACUCUUAGAAUUGCAAGAAGUAGAAAAAAAACAGAAAACCCUUAUUGAAAUGUAUAAAACUCAGGUACAAAAGUUGCAAGAAGCAGCUGAAAUAGUUAAAGGCAGAUGUGAAAAUUUGCUACAUAAAAAUAACCAAAUAACAAAAACCAAAAAUAAAAAUGUAGAGAAGAUGAGAGGCCAGAUGGAGUCUCAUCUGAAGGAGUUAGAGCGUGUCUGUGAUUCCUUGACGGCGGCGAAACGGAGGCUUCACGAGUGUCAGGAGAGUCUGCAGUGCUGCAAGGGGAAGUGUGCAGACCAGGAACACACCAUU
rnacentral:sRNA from 1 species